rnacentral:rRNA from 1 species
GUAGGGUCCAAGCGUUAAUCGGGAAUUACUGGGGCGUAAAGCGUGCGCAGGCGGUUGUGCAAGACCGAUGUGAAAUCCCCGGGGGCUUAACCUGGGGAAUUGCAUUGGUGACUGCACGGCUAGAGUGUGUCAGAGGGGGGUAGAAUUCCACGUGUAGCAGUGAAAUGCGUAGAGAUGUGGAGGAAUACCGAUGGCGAAGGCAGCCCCCUGGGAUAACACUGACGCUCAUGCACGAAAGCGUGGGGAGCAAACAGGAUUAGAUACCCUGGUAGUCCACGCCCUAAACGAUGUCAACUAGUCGUUGGGGAUUCAUUGCCUUAGUAACGUAGCUAACGCGUGAAGUUGACCGCCUGGGGAGUACGGUCGCAAGAUUA